rnacentral:rRNA from 1 species
GCGUCGACGGGUAGCCGGCCUGAGAGGGUGACCGGCCACACUGGGACUGAGACACGGCCCAGACUCCUACGGGAGGCAGCAGUGGGGAAUAUUGCACAAUGGGCGCAAGCCUGAUGCAGCAACGCCGCGUGCGGGAUGACGGCCUUCGGGUUGUAAACCGCUUUUAGUAGGGAAGAAGCCUUCGGGUGACGGUACCUGCAGAAAAAGGACCGGCUAACUACGUGCCAGCAGCCGCGGUAAUACGUAGGGUCCGAGCGUUGUCCGGAAUUAUUGGGCGUAAAGAGCUCGUAGGCGGUUUGUCGCGUCUGCUGUGAAAACUAGAGGCUCAACCUCUAGCCUGCAGUGGGUACGGGCAGACUUGAGUGGUGUAGGGGAGACUGGAAUUCCUGGUGUAGCGGUGGAAUGCGCAGAUAUCAGGAGGAACACCGAUGGCGAAGGCAGGUCUCUGGGCACUUACUGACGCUGAGGAGCGAAAGCGUGGGGAGCGAACAGGAUUAGAUACCCUGGUAGUCCACGCCGUAAACGUUGGGCGCUAGAUGUGGGGACCUUUCCACGGUUUCCGUGUCGUAGCUAACGCAUUAAGCGCCCCGCUGGG